UACGUAGGGGGCAAGCGUUAUCCGGAUUCACUGGGCGUAAAGGGAGCGCAGGCGGCAUGGUAAGUCUGAUGUGAAAACCCGGGGCCCAACCCCGGGAGUGCAUUGGAAACUGCCAGGCUGGAGUGUCGGAGGGGUAAGCGGAAUUCCUAGUGUAGCGGUGAAAUGCGUAGACAUUAGGAGGAACACCAGUGGCGAAGGCGGCUUACUGGACGACUACUGACGCUGAGGCUCGAAAGCGUGGGGAGCAAACAGG
rnacentral:rRNA from 1 species